rnacentral:lncRNA from 1 species
GUCUCAUCCUGGUGGAGGGAGGAACUCUGAGUCUGGGGGUUGCCAAGAUUUCAGAGACUUGGGACUCUGUAGUCGAGACUUAAGGAGUACAGCCAGCAAGGAUCUGGCAGAGUGAGAUGCUUGGGCCUCAGCUCUCUUCCCACAGUUCAUCUGCAAGGCUGAAUCCAUUGCUAGAGUCCAGGCCAUUCUGUGGACUCCUGUGGCUUUGAUGAAGAGAUGAAGUUUCCAAACUUUGCUGCCUCAGUCCAGCCCUCCUGGAGUGACUCA